UCAGUUAAGGUCAAGAAAUUUAACUUUCGAUAAAAUGUAAAAGAUACAUGUGAUGCAAGUUUCUUUUGUUUUGGGUUACUAGGUCAAUCCAAAAUUGCUAAAAUAAACAACUGGCAUGCCACUUAGUAAUUGAUUUAGGAGAGAGACAUGAACUUAAAUAGCAUGCCAUGUAAUUAAUUAGCUGAAUAAUAAAUAUUGGAUCCCCAAUUGCAUGCAUCCCCAAAUAGUACUACCUCCGUAUCAAAA
rnacentral:lncRNA from 1 species